rnacentral:rRNA from 1 species
CCUACGGGUGGCAGCAGUGGGGGAUAUUGCACAAUGGGGGAAACCCUGAUGCAGCGACGCCGCGUGGGUGAAGAAGCGCCUCGGCGCGUAAAGCCCUGUCAGCAGGGAAGAAAAUGACGGUACCUGAAGAAGAAGCCCCGUCUAACUACGUGCCAGCAGCCGCGGUAAUACGUAGGGGGCAAGCGUUAUCCGGAUUUACUGGGUGUAAAGGGGGCGCAGACGGCGAUGCAAGCCAGGAGUGAAAGCCCGGGGCCCAACCCCGGGACUGCUCUUGGAACUGCGUGGCGAGAGUGCAGGAGGGGCAGGCGGAAGUCCUGGUGUAGCGGUGAAAUGCGUAGAUAUCAGGAGGAACACCGGUGGCGAAGGCGGCCUGCUGGACUGCAACUGACGUUGAGGCCCGAAAGCGUGGGGAGCAAACAGGAUUAGAUACCCCAGUAGUC